CCUCAGUGUCCUCUGCCUGCCUGUAGUUUGUAGAAAAGCUUUAGUCUCCAGGCCUCCCCUGAGUCACAAAAUCCUGGCUCAAGAAUUAAUGACUGAAAGAAUGUGAACAUGUAGUAACAAAAAUUAGCAAUUGGGCUAGGGAAACUGGUAACAGUUUAAACAAUAGAGCAGCCAUAUAGUAGUCAUGGAAUCUUUGUUCCAACCUGAAGGACAUACGGUCUGAUGUACAUUCCUAAGUUGUUUUGCAGAUACUGAGACCUCUGCCAGAAAGAAGCAGCUAUGUUGCCUGAUGACCGUAAGCACAUAUCCCCCAGACCACUGGUGCCUGAGGACUGAUGAUGUGAACCUGUGAUACCACUCUACUACCUCCCCGUAAAGCAGAGAAUUGUGUAGAGUUGGUCACGCACUCUGUGACUCUCUCCUUCACCUCGCCUUUAAAAACGCUUCCCUGAAAUCCAUCAGGGAGUUUGGGGCUUUUGAGCAUUAGCUGUCUGCCUGGACUCCUUGCUUGGCGGCUGCAAUAAAUGUUGCACUUUUCUUCACCACAACCUCAGCGUCAAUAGAUUGGCUUUACUGAAUUGGUUUGGUAAUAAAAUGUCAAGUGAAAAAGUAAACAAUAAGCACAACAUCAUCCGGCCAGUUGCUGACGUCCCCCAGGCAAGAGGUAACUCUGCAGCAGAUGGCCUUCAGACUUCACCUGCAGCAUCAGCUCUUCCCUAGAGUUCUAGCCUACUGAAGAUCUUCAAGAUUUUGGCCAUUUUAGUCGGUGUAUAAUGGCCUGUGAAAAAAGCUGAGCACUGAAGAAUUGAUGCUUUUGAACUGUGGUGUUGGAGAAGACUCUGGAGAGUCCCUUGGACUGCAAGGAGAUCUAACCAGUCCAUCCUAAAGG